AAGCCCAAGCAACUGCGAUUGCUACAGUAACGGCGAGUGAAGUGGCAUUACACAUGGCUCAACCUGAAUGAGAUCCCCCUGCACUGCCUAGGCAGGAGCAGUCGGCUAUUGUGGGUUUCAACAGAUGCUGUGGGUUCUGGAGUGGCCAGCAGUGCCAGUGGGAUGGCUGUGGUGCCCUGAAAUGCCCUGGAAUGGCAUACAACAGAGGGAUACUGUCCCGUAGUCCUGGUGUGUGCCAUGGCCAUCCACGGUCUGUUGGUUACAUCCAAGAGUAGAGCGGCUUGGGACUGCAGUUUGAAGUGUGUGGUGUAUCCCACACAAGGAGGAAUACCACCAUGGGACCGAUAGCGCACAAGUAGAGUGAUUGAAGGAUGCAAAGGACUUUGCAAAGAGGGUUAAAAGUCCCUGAAGCCUCAGCAGGAACGGCGGUGUGUGGUGCUGUAGCCUGGACUACCAGCCCAAUGCAGGCCUACUCAUCAGAUCCUUCUGGGUCUGAGGCUCUGCAGUGUGGUGCUGUGAGUUCCCAUACCAAGUGACCUUGGGCCAGCCCAGUGCUGGCUGUUGAGCCUAUCACUCCAGUGGUGGAUGCAAUCACAGCAGUGCUUUGGUGACAAACUGCCUGUCAGGGCCUGAGGUUUAUAGCAAUUGCAAAGGGCAUAUGGCUGUCUGUCUCAACCUGUGGCAACUGUGGACCCCACUAGGGGAGCUCUUGCCUGGAGAUGAUGCCUAUGUGAUACCUGAGCGCUGAACCUGGUGUGCCUAUGGGCAUGCCAGUCUCUAGGGCCCAGCCAUGGUUGGGGCUGGCGAGUGCAUGAUGGCUGCACCACUUAGGUGGCCAUGGUGUGCCUGCUGGCUCCCCAGAUGGUGCCCAGAGCAGAUGGUAAGGCAGCUGAGCUUGGAUCAUCAGUGCCACUCACUGCCCGUCUUGAAACACGGACCAAGGAGUCUAUGGAGCUUGCAGGUUGGCAGGUGUUAUCAUGGAAAACCGGCAUGGCAUAGUGAAGGCAACGUCUCCCAGAUGCUUCUGCAGCAUGGGACACCGGCCCCAAUGUCCAUUGGACUGGGUUUUGAGUGAAUGCAAGGUCCAUGGGACCCGAAAGGUGGUGAACUAUACCGUUCCAUGACGAAGCCAUGGGAAACUGUGGUGGAGGUCAGUCGCUGUCCUGACGUGCAAAUUGUGUAGCCUGAGUGUGGCAUAGGGGUGAAAGGCCAAUCGAGCCACCUAGUAGCUGGUUUCCCU
rnacentral:rRNA from 1 species